GGAUAUGCAACUAUAUGAACACAAUCUGUAUGCCAAGCAAGCUCAAAGCAAAGUAAGUUAGGCAACAAUAUAAGUAGCAAGCCCACAAUCAUAAAAUGCAAAGCAAAGUGUGGAAAAUAAAAAAUCACAAGUGAGUCCGGGACACGGAUUUUAACAUGAAGUUCACACUUCAUUUGGGAAGUGCUAAUAUUCAUUGGACUCAUGUUGGUGUCAAGGCUCUAGAACGCCACCAAGCAGCUCUAUGUGUUCUCCUCAAGUCGCCACCAACGAAUGAGCCUCAAAUCAUUCAAGGUUGGUCUUGAAUGCGACUACCACACCUUUACAUAUGCCUCUGGAUCAUACGAAAAUCAAGGAAGAUUCCCGAGGAUAACUAACCGCCUAGGAUCCAAAUCACCAAGAGUGACAAGUUGGUGAAGAAAUAUCGUGGGAACAUGGAUCGGGCCUUGUGUCCUCAGUUCCCAAAGUAUCAAAGAGUUUGUGUGGAGGUACUGAGAGAUAUGAGCAAAAAAGGUUUGAGAAUGGUGGUGAC
rnacentral:lncRNA from 1 species